AACUUGAUAUGUCAAACAAUAAUUUCACAGGUUCUAUCCCAAUUUCUAUAGGAAAUUUGAAAAGCUUAUAUGUUCUUUACCUUUACAACAACAAACUCUCUGGUUUCAUUCCCCAAGGAAUUGGGUUGUUAAGAUCUCUUUCUGAACUUGAUUUGUCUGAAAACAAUCUCACAGGUCCAAUCCCAACUUCAAUAGGGAAUUUGAUAAAUUUAUCCGUCCUUUACCUUUACAAUAACAGACUCUUUAAUUCCAUUCCCCAAGAAAUUGGAUUGUUAAGAUCUCUUUUUGACCUUGAUUUGUCUUACAACAGUUUCACAGGUCCAAUCCCUGCUUCGAUAGGAAAUUUGAUAAACUUAUCCGUUCUUGACCUUAACAACAACAAACUCUCUGGUUUGAUUCCCCAAGAAAUUGGAUUGUUAAGAUCUCUUUCUGACCUUAAAUUGUCUUACAACAGUUUCACAGGUCCAAUCCCUGCUUCGAUAGGAAAUUUGAUAAACUUGUCCGUUCUUUACCUUAACAACAACAAACUCUCUGAUUUAAUUCCCCAAGAAAUUGGAUUGUUAAGAUCUCUUUCUGUCCUUGAAUUGUCUUACAACAGUUUCACAGGUCCAAUUCCUACUUCGAUAGGAAGUUUGAUAAACUUAUUCUUUCUUUACCUUAACAACAACAAACUCUCUGGUUCCAUUCCCCAAGAACUUGGUUUGUUAAGAUCUCUUUCUGACCUUGUAUUGUCUGACAACAAUUUCACAGGUUCAAUCCCUGCUUCAAUAGGAAUUUUGAGUAAUUUGUCUUAUCUUUUUCUUGUCAACAACAAUUUAUCGGGUUCAAUACCUCAAGAGAUGAACGGCCUAAGAAAUUUGAAAUCUCUAC
rnacentral:lncRNA from 1 species